rnacentral:rRNA from 1 species
UACGUAGGGGGCAAGCGUUGUCCGGAAUCAUUGGGCGUAAAGCGCGUGUAGGCGGCCCGGUAAGUCCGCUGUGAAAGUCGGGGGCUCAACCCUCGAAAGCCGGUGGAUACUGUCGGGCUAGAGUGCGGGAGAGGCGAGUGGAAUUCCUGGUGUAGCGGUGAAAUGCGCAGAUAUCAGGAGGAACACCAAUAGCGAAGGCAGCUCGCUGGGACGUACUGACACUAAGGCGCGAAAGCG